UACGAAGGGGGCUAGCGCUGUUCGGAUUUACUGGGCGUAAAGCGCACGUAGGCGGAUCGAUCAGUCAGGGGUGAAAUCCCAGAGCUCAACUCUGGAACUGCCUUUGAUACUGUCGAUCUGGAGUAUGGAAGAGGUGAGUGGAAUUCCGAGUGUAGAGGUGAAAUUCGUAGAUAUUCGGAGGAACACCAGUGGCGAAGGCGGCUCACUGGUCCAUUACUGACGCUGAGGUGCGAAAGCGUGGGGAGCAAACAGG
rnacentral:rRNA from 1 species